rnacentral:rRNA from 1 species
AUACGAAGGGGGCUAGCGUUGUUCGGAAUAACUGGGCGUAAAGCGCACGUAGGCGGAAUGUUAAGUUAGAGGUGAAAUCCCAGGGCUCAACCCUGGAACUGCCUCCAAAACUUCCAAUCUAGAGAUCGAGAGAGGUGAGUGGAAUUCCAAGUGUAUAGGUGAAAUUCGUAGAUAUUUGGAGGAACACCAGUGGCGAAGGCGGCUCACUGGCUCGAUACUGACGCUGAGGUACGAAAGCGUGGGGAGCAAACAGGAUUAGAUACCCUAGUAGUCC